AAAUCCUUUUAAUUUAUCCAUAUUUAAUACACCAGAAACCAAUAGCAGUGGCUGCCUCAGUGGAAGAAAACGGUGUAGUUAUGGAGCAGGAGUGAGAGGGAGACUAACUCUGCGCCAUUUGCAUCUUUUGAACUUGGAAUCACGUGAGUGUAUCAUCUGCUCAAAUGGGUUGAUUAAAUUUAAAAAAAAUAGACAAUAAGCAUGCAUGAGUUAUUUAACCAGCAGCCAUCCCCGGUUCACAGAUGACGGAAGGGAGGCUCACAGAGGGGGAGGGAGCUCCCCGGGGUCACUCAGCCGGAAGACAGGUCCAAGCUUCGGUGCUGUCCGGUGGUAGCCAUCCCUGAGUGUGCUUGGAGAUUUGAGUCUUCUAAUUACUGCUUCCCUACGGAUUAUCACCAUCUGAUAGAUGCAGAAACUGAACACACUCAAGUUCAGAACCCCUCGCCUCACCCCAAAUCGCCUAGAGUCCUGGCUCUGGGCUUCCCACCUGGCACCCUCCCCCACCGCCCCAUCAGGCAGGUAGGCAUAGUCUCCACAACAGUCGGUUAAGGCAAAGAUCCUGUAGAUUGCCCCUAGGAGACCCAGAGAGGGCGAUCACUUACCCCAAGACCCUCAGCCAACUGUAUGUCUCCCAGAGGACUAGAACCCAAGGAAGAGUCCAGAACCUCAGGCUGGGAGAAGGAAGCAGUCUCCCAGAGGCAAGAAGCAGCAUCUGGAAUAGUUUAAGCCUUUGGAGCAGGCGUGCAGUCAUUAGUCGAGCUUUGGCAUGUUUGGGGGCAAUAACUGCAUAUUUUCUCCAGGAUGCAUUGUGAACCGCCUUUGCUCAGAAUGUAAUGAGUAUGUUUCCUAGGAGGGGGGGAUGUUUGCGCUCCUCCCUGGCCCGCCUGGGCUGCUCUCCUGCCGUCUGCUUGGCGUUAGGCUCCCUGCCUUCCUAUUUUUAGGUGGAUCCAACAACAGCCUAGCAUGGGCCGCUGGAUGCAGCUGCGAGCAUGGCUGUCCUGGCGGGACCAACGUCCAGUGCGGCAGCCUACUGGAGAAAGGAUCAUUUGCUCCAGUGCUUUACUGUGGUCAAGAGUCACUUCUUCUCAUCCCUGUUCAAAGACUCCACCCCGGGGACUUUCCAAGCUUCAAAAAUGGAGGCUUAGUUAUUGUUUUUUCCCCCAGAAGUUGCAUGGGUGGAAAAUACAAAUCCAUUCAUCGCUUGUGUCCCUUCCCUCCAGCCCCAGGCUGCUGCUUUCCCUCAUUCCCCUUUGGGCCCUUACAGAGUUAGCUUCUUCUGCCUGGAAUGCCCUUCCUCCUCUCUCUGGAAUGCCCUUCCUCCCACCCCCAUCUGGAAAACUCAGCUCAUGCCACCUCCUCCAGGAAGCAUUCCAAAUGGACCUGUGACUCCUUCUCUGACUUCCCCACAAUGCCCAUGCUUCCCUCCAUCACAGCCGUUACCAUACUCAGUACUGAAUGCUUGCUCAGCUCCCCCUAAUUCUGUGAGUCUGGGGAACUGGCGGUGUGAAUUAUUCCUCUAGAGUGACUCUUAGCAUCCAACAUGGGGCCAGGGACAGAACAGUUGCAGCACGGAUGCUGACUGACUGACAUUACAGAUGCUGACUGACUGACAUUACAUUACAUUACAGAUAAGUAAUGGAUGAAAUGAAGGAAUUGAUGAAUGCAGUGGUAGAACAUCCCAGAUGAAGAGGCGGGCUGUGGCCCCAGCAUCUUAUAGGUAAGGCUUCUGAGGCUUGGACAGGGAGGGAGAUAUAUUAUCAGGGGUCGUUGCUUGCAAGUAACAGAAUACCAACUGAAACCAACUUUAGAUAAAUGAGGAGCAUGUACCCUCUCAUAAAUUAUGGUAAGGGUGAAACAGGAUUUUGAGAUGUUCGGAACCGAGAACUCAAACAUCCUCUUCAUACUGGCUUCCGUUUCGCAGACCACUUUCUCCAUGAGUUUGGGGGCCUGGCUGUUGGCAGCUUUAUGGUCCCGUCCUUAGAGUUUUGCAAAUGGGGACAGAAGAGCUGCAGUUGGAAAAGAGAGCCCCAGAGAAGCAUUCCAAGGGAUCUGAUUUGGGACGUGCUGUCCCCUUGACAAAUCACUGUUGGAGGGUGGCAGCUCCCAGCUAGAGAAGAAACAAUUCUCCCAAACACAUGGGGUAUCAUGGCCAGGACCACCAGGGGAAAUCACUGUGAGCUUGGAGGCCACCCCAAUUUAUAUCUACUAGAGGCACUAGCAUUUCUGGAGCAUCUCAGUACCAGCCUAUGUUAGAUAAUCUCAUGCGUACUGUCUUCCAAUUACUCUGUGAGAUGGAUAUUGUUGCUGCUGUUUUGCUCCCAGAUGAAAAAGCAGAGGUUCGGAGAAAGUAAGUAAUUGGCCCAAAGUCCCAGAGACUUAAGGAGCCCAACAGAACACUUAGCCCCACCCUUCCCCAUGCACAGUGAAAACUACAGCCCAAGAAGGGAAGGACUUGCCUCAAGUCACAAAGGAGGUCAAUAGAAUAGUCUGGAAUAGGAACUCACAAGCAUUUAGUCACAUUACAUUACAGAUAAGUAAUAGACAUCUUUGGGGUAUUUUCCCUGCUCAUGACAAUUUUCCUUCUCUCAGAACAGCCCAGGGCCUGAUGACUAUGGGGAAUGACUCCCAAAGGAGUAGCCUGGCAGCUACUGUGUGACCCCAUUCCCUUUCCCAAAGCCAACUGGGCCAGUGUGGGACACCUGCUUCAUUUGGGCCAAUCACCUUCUCUUGGGAAUUUGGAGAUUCUUUUCACAUGGCUGGACCUGUCAGGUGCUGUGAGCAGUCACGUUGCCGCCCCCACCCAUCCGAUAGAAGGCAGAGAAGGCCAGUCUGGGAAGAGAACAGAACAGAGGCAGAGACAGAAGCAGGGAGAUGCCACCCCCUGGAUUGCUGAGCCAGGUCAAGUCCUUUCCUGUAUCAGGUUGCUUGAGAUUCCAAGUUCCUUGCAAUCAAUUCCCCAUCCUAGAGUCAAGUGGAUUUCUUGUUGUAAAAAUAGCAUCCUAAUAUAGCAUGUGGCAAAGCGUUUACUGGAAAGGGGGUCAUUGCAUGAAGCUGCAGGGUUACCUCAGUCAUUUUAAGUGGUCUGACGAGGAGGCCACUGUGGGCUGGAGUGGUCAGAGGGUGUCCCUGGAGCAAGCAGGACUCCUCUGUCCUUGAAGGAUGAGAGUCGUGUAAGCAGGGAGAGAAGAGGUGGAGUGCUUCCCAGGGGGCACUCGAGGUGAUAAAAGGGAGGCUGAUUUGAAGGAAUUGAGUGUGUGGCCAAGCAGGGAGGUGAAGUAGUAAACAAGAAAGAUGGUGGUCUUCUGCUCCCCAGGAACCAUCCAAAGCCAUCCAAGGUACUACUAGACAGGUGGAGAGAGGGAUUGGGAAGCAUUAAGCACUUCUAAGGGCUGGUUACAAACCAAAUCAUUGCAGUGAAAGCAAUUCUACCCCCCACCCUGGGCUCUAUCUAGCAUGACAUCAGUCAGUUCACCAUUUCCUGCCCUGCCCCUCACUCUCCCACCUCUGUGCCUCCAUUUCUGUAGGUAUAGUAGCCGAGAAGCCCUUUAUCAAACCUCAGUGCACCUCCAAGUCCUCCUUAUCCAAAGAGCUUGUCCUGUCACCAUCCCCAAACCCCCAAAGUGAAAUCCAGGCUCUCUUUCUAUGGGUUCUCACUUGGACCCUCUACUGUGUAGUUUCUAUUAUACUGAUCUGUGCAAGUAUCUGCUGUCCCUACUAGAACAUGAACCCUGAGGCCAGGAACUCAGAUCGGAUUCAUUGCUUCUCUGUUGCCCAAUGCUGGGGCUGGCUCACAAUGGGAAGAAUUUGCUAAACACCUCUACAUAUCCACUGUCCAUACUAAGCACAGGAAGAAGUGAUGUGUUUGCUGCCUCCUUACCAGCCUCCCUCCCCCACUUACUAAUCAGGAGGGAGAGCAGAGUUUGAGGGGGUAGAGAGUCUGUCCUCACACAGGGAGCUGAGGAGUUGGGAGCUGUGUAUGGAUAGCACUGUACUGCACAGGUAUGUGCGUGCACGGGUAUGUGCGUGCACAGGUAUGUGCGUGCGCAGGUAUGUGCCGGGAGCUCUCUAGGUUGUGAGUCGAGGAGGGCUCCCCCAAGAGCAAAGCAGCUGGCAGCUUUACAGGCCCAGCUGUGUCAGCCACCCCUGACCCCUACUCUUCAUUCUAGUCACAUGGUCCUCUGGGCCAACAGGCAUCAGGCCCGGAGGCUGAUGGGCUAUAUAGUCAAUAGCUCCAAAGCCAACCCAGUUUGGCCUGGAGCCCAGGAGGGCCUGGGGCACAGUAGAGAUCAGUCAAAUCUUCUGUCAAAUGAUGCUCCGCAAAGAUCUGGCUGAUCUCUGUUAAUCUGUAGUUUUACAUCCAGGCUGAUACACCCCAAGGCUCACGAGGGGCCGGGAGCGAGAUUGGCAGGGCAGAUGAAGAGACUGGCUGUUAAAGGCUUGGCAAAGAGGAAAGGAGCAGGACGUAAGCGAGCACUCUGUACCUGCAGGUUCCGGCUCUGACACAUAUUUCAUCUGUUCCUCGCGACAAGCCUGGGAGCUAUUACCCCUUCUCCGUGGCAAGUAUCCAGGCACUGAAGCUGCUUGCCCCAGGGUGAAGGGCUGGGGCACGGCCCAGGGGGGGACAUGAACUCAGCUGGCAGAUGCCACCCUGUCAUCAUGGAGUCCCAUUGCUGUUAGAGAGUGUAGAAGCAGCACCCUUUCUUCCCAAAGCUUCAUGGCCUUAAACCCUCAGCCCCCUUCGCGUUCGACUCUCUCGCAAACGGCUCUCCAGAUGUCCAUAGCCUGGCCCCGCUGGACCACAGUCAGAUUACCCUCGUCACAGCUGCCCCUUUCUUUCUAGCAUCUAGUCCUGUGGGUGACGGUGUUCCUGAUGUCUGCCUCUGCCAUUGGGCUAUAAGUUUCACGAGGGGAGGGGCUUUCUCUUUGUCACCGCUCUAUCCCCAUUUGUUACUCACUCAACAAGAAUCUAUUGAGCACCAUUCUGUGACAGCCAUUGUACUAGGUGUUUGGGAUUCAAUAGUGAAAAAAAAAAAGAUAAAGUUCCCUGCCUUUUGGAACUUCCCUCCAAGCAUAGACAAUCAGCAAAUCUUAUAGUGUAUUACGUCUUAGAAGGUAUUAAGCAUGAUGGACAGAAAUAAAAUAGCGGGGGUAAUAGAAAGAGUAGGGGUGCAAUUUUAUGCAGGGAGGGGAGGAAGGGCCUGGAAGGAGGUAAGGACAGAGCCCUUUGAAUAUAUGAGGGAAGGGCAUUCCGGACAGUGGUAACAGCAAGUUACCAAAGUGCUGAGGUGCGGUCGGGUGGGGUCCCUGGCAUUUUCCAGGAACAACAGCAAGGCUGGAGCAAAGUGUCUAAGGGCAGGGCAUGAGAGCAGUGCAGAUACCAUAAAGUCUUCCCCUUCCCUUUGAGUUGGGAAGCCACUGGAGAGUGACAGACAAGUCAGUUGAUCUGACUUAGGUUUUAAAAGGACAACUGUGGCGGCGCCUGGGUGGCUCAGUCGAUUAAGCAUCCGACUCUUGAUUACAUCUCAGGUCAUGAUCUUGUGGUUUGUGAGUUCAGGCCCUACAUUGGGCUCUUUGCUGACAGUGGGGAGCCUGCCUGGGAUUCUCUCUCUCUCUUGCCCUCCCUCUAAAAAUAAAUAAAUAAACAUUAAAAAAUAUAUUUAAAAGGACCACUCUGGCUACCUUGGGAAGAACUGAUAGUUUCAAGGCCCCUCAGGGAUCAAAUAGGUAUUUUUGAUUGAGCAAAGAGUGAGAAGGAAGAAAGAAAGAAUUGCUAUCAAAGGAAGAAGCUGGAGAGGCAAACCCAGAGGACGCUUCUAACCUUGACGCUCAGUGCUUCUGAGCCCAGUUAUAAAAACGUGAAAGGGAACAAAUACCACUUAGCAGAGUGUGAACCUUCCUUCUGGCAGGGUAUCUUAGUAAAUGUCCCAGGAGGUCAUAAGAAUGCCUUGUCACGGGAGAUAUGCAAGUCGGGCCCGGUGGCCUCAGGAGAACUAGAAGCUGUGGCUUUCAUGGGUGAGGGACAGCCUAUGUGUCCCUCGGCUCCUGUCCUCUAGCUCUAGCUGCAAGUGGGUGCAGCAAGGGUCCUGUCUCCUCCUCCAGGACCUUCAUCUGACCCUCGGGGCUGUCGAGCCUUCCGGGUACAUGUGGUUCCUGCCUUGGGUGGUACAAGUGACAGCUGAGGCUGCAGGAGACACUGGCAGCAGAGCGUUUGGAGUGAUGUUUGGCUGGGACCAGGAGGCUGUCCAGAGUGGCAGGCUCUCUAUGGGCAGAGUCCUGGAUUCCCAGCGAGCUGAGGCCAAAGCAGGCCAGGAAUUCCUUGCCUUAAUUUUUGCCUCUAAUUCCUCCCAGAAAUGAGGCGUGUCAGUCUUUAAAUUCUCGGGUUUUUAUGAGGCGAUUAUGGUGAUUACUAUAAAUCUCCCGUGUGUUGUUUUCAAAGGGGCAAUUAAGUGGAGGAACCAGGCACCAUUUUCGUUUCUCAUUAAGUGAUUAGGGUUUGUUUGGCAAAUCCCAACAUCUGUGGCCAGAGGCAGGCUCUGCUGAGCUUGGCUUGGGCAGCGCGUUAGCCUCCACACGUGUGAAGCAUCCAACACUUCCCUUCUGGCCUGGCUUCUUCUCCUAGUCGGAAGGAGUUGGAGGGAAACCUUGCAGUGUAUAGAUGAGGAAACUGAGGCACAGAAUGGGGAACCAACCCACCAAUCCUGCACCACUAGCAAGCAGUAGAGCCAGGUUCUGCCUUCCAGAGUAAAACUCUAGCCAUUACACCAGGCUUUCCAUCUGAAGAAAGCGUUUUUAGUAAACCUGUUCCCACUGGCAGCUUUGCUUGCUCCUAGGAGGAGCAGUGAAGGCUCCUUCUUUAGCACGGGCUCACUUUUUCCACCUGACUCUUCUUUCUCCUUGAACAACCACCAGUGUCAACAAGUAUGGCAGACACUGUUGGUGUCCACCCAACAGUCAUUCCCAGCCUCCUUUUCCUUCACCUACCUCCCACUAACGAGGCUCUGCAAAACCUCUCUAGUGGUUAGGAGAGACUACAUGACCCAGUUCUGGCUGAUGGGAUAAGUGGGGGAUUUUGCUGGGGGACUUCUGGUAGAUUUUCUUAUGCCUUCGAGUCACUUAAGAAGAAUGCCUUUGCUCCAUACUUACUCCCUCACUUCUGCUUUUAGCUGUGAGUGUUUGUAGCAAUGUGUGGAGCUGAGGCAACCAUCUUGUAACUUGAGGCAACAAACUAGAAGAAGAAAACUAACUGCUCCAGUCAUCUACUGCUGCAUAACAAAUCACCCCAAAAUUCAGUAUCUUAAAGGAUCAAUCCAUUAUUAUCUUUCACCAUUUUAUAUGUUGACUGGACUCAACUAGAUGGCUCUUACUUGAGGUCUCUUAUGUGGUUGCAGUCUGAUAGAGGUGGGGGUUGGAUGUCCUGGUGGCUCACUCACAUAGCUGGCAGUUGAUGCUGGAUGUCCAGUGGGAGCUUAGCUAGGGCUGUUGACCAGGACACCUGCACAGAGAUUCUCCAUGUGGCUUGGGUGUCCCAUACCAUGGCUGUUGGUUUCUUUUUUAAAAAUUUUUUAAUGUUUAUUAUUUUUGAAAAAGAGAGAGAGAGCACGAGCAUGAGUAGGGGAAGGGCAGGGAGAGAGGAAGACAGAGAAUCUGAAGCAGGCUCCAGGCUCUGAGCUGUCAGCACAGAGCCCAACAUAGGGUUCAAACUCACAGACCACAAGAUCAUGACUUGAGCUGAUGUCAAUGCUUAACUGACUGAGCCACCCAGGCGCCCCAGGCUGCUUGCUGGUUUCUGAGGGCAAGUGUUCAAGCACUAAUCAUUUUAAGAGGCUCAGACAGAUGCUGCAAGGCUUAUGAUGUAACCUUGAAAGUUCAAAAUGUUAUUUCCACCAUGUUCUAUUGGUUAAGCAAAUUUUUUUAAAUAAUUUUUUUAAUGUUUAUUCAUUUUUGAGAGACAGAGCAUGAGCUGGGGAGGGGCAGAGAGAGAGGGAGACACAGAAUCUGAAGCGGGCUCCAGGCUCUGAGCUGUCAGCACACAGCCCGAUGCAGGGCUCGAACCCAUGAACCGUGGGAUCAUGACCUGAGCCAAAUUCGGAUGCUCAACCAACUGAGCCACCCAGGUGCCCCAGGUUAAGCGCAUUAUUAAGGCCAGCUUAGAUUCAAGGGAGAAGAGAACUAGACUCUAUCUCUAGGUGAGCGAAUGACAAGGUGACAUUGCAGAAAAGCAGGCAGUAUGGGAGAUACUGCUCUGUCCAUCUUUGGAAAAUGCAGUCUACCAUCCCCACACCCUGAAGACCAUGAUGUGGUUAGCUGGAAAGAGUUAUGGUACUUGUUACCUAUAAGCCACUGUGCCAGCCCAGUACCGUUUCUGUACUUCUCAAGUAAACAAAUAAUGUCCUAAAAGUUUAAGCCAUCGUGAGCUGGAUUUUCUGUCCAAAUGUGGAGCAGGAGGCAAACAUGACCAGGGAAGACUUCCUAAGAGAAGAUGGACUUAAACUGGAUAUUUUAAGACCAUCUCAAGUUCUUACUCUUUGGCAUCAGACACUCUUAGGUUUGAGUUCUAUUUCUGCAAUUACUACUAGCUGUGUGAGUCUGAGCAAGUUAACCUCUCCGAGCUUCAACUUCCUCAUCUGUAAAAUAGGAAUAAUAACAUUUGCCUCUAAGGCCAUUCUGAGAACUCAAUGAUAUGAUACAUAGUAAGAGCUUAGCAUGAGACCACAGAAUAAGUGGUCUUUAAUCAUGACUACUUUAUCAAAUUAUUCAUUGAGAGGCAGAAAAGUAACCCACUUGGUUUUGUGUGGUUCCGAAUGUUGUUGCUGAGACCACUGAGGGGGAAGUAUCAGGAAAGCAUUUUCUGGCGGACAUGGCUGCCUCUGGCUGUGACCCUUCCAUGUCUGGGGGCAAAAGCAGAGCUGCGGGGCCCUGUGAGGGAGACCGAGGAGGGGCUUCUGGCCUGGGAGAAGCUGGACUGUCCUGUGCAGCUCAGUGAUGGGGAAGAGGUGGGAGUGGUCUGUAAUUUGGGAGCUGGUGAGAGGACACUAGCUGGGAUCCCCAAACAAUUGCUUACAGCGGUCUGUGAGGCCCCAAACCUUUCUCUAUGGAAGUCUGAGGUUGGGACAGGGAACAGUCCUCUGCAGGUAGGGUGACCAAUUUUAACUAGUUUGUCCAGGACUUUCUGGUUUUAGCACUGGACCUUUCACAUCCUGAGAGGCCCUUCAGUACAGGGCAAACCAGGAUGGCUGGUGGGAUCCUGUUUGCAGGGGAUCAUCUAGGUGGAAGCUUCUGGGACUCAGGGAGUCCUGUGUCCCAGUAUAAGGGAUAACAUCCUGGCUAAAUAGUCUGUCCCAUGGAGACCCAGGAUGCAGAGCCACCUCCAGGCAACCAGCCUUAUAGGUCAGGGACAGCAAUGGCCCUCAGUGACCACAAAGUGCACUUCCAGGUCUGGAGACAGAGGAUGUAGUGUGGAGUAGCAGCAACGUCUCUGCAGCCACAGUCAGCCUGUGUCAGCCCUUUGGGACUUUCACACUUGUGCUGUCAUCACCAGGGAGAAAUAUGAGAUCAUUUUAGGGGCUCAAGACCUAUAAAAACCGUGUGUAUGCCUGAGAUAUAGCUUUCCCAAACCAAGUUCUAGAACUGAAAUACCACCAUUCACUCUUCAUUUGUUAGGUGAGAACCAAUAAGAACUAUGUUCCCAGAAGCUCUCACCUGACACGCACACUCAGAGUAAAGAGGUCUACAGUCCUUCCCGGUGGAGGAAAGAGCCUGGAAAGGUGAAGAAGAGGUGUCUGAAGCUUGGAGAUGAAGGAGCGAGCACAGGAGUCCUCAAACACACCUCGAG
rnacentral:lncRNA from 1 species